UGUUCUUCACGUAAGCCAUGCCAUACCAUGCCCAUGCAUGUUCCAAGUACACAAAGUGGGCUUGUCCACCUUACCGCGCCACAUGUCCCACUAGCCCAUGUGAGUGGUCUUCAUCUCCACUAACCACUCCACAUGCCUUCUCAUGUGAUCACCAUGUGUGCCCCACUUCACUUGCCAUGCACAAAUGACAAAUCUCACGUGAACUCUCCCAUGCA
rnacentral:misc_RNA from 1 species